rnacentral:rRNA from 1 species
CUACGAAGGGGGCUAGCGUUGUUCGGAAUUACUGGGCGUAAAGCGCGCGUAGGCGGACUGAUCAGUUGGGGGUGAAAUCCCAGGGCUUAACCCUGGAACUGCCUCCAAUACUGUCAGUCUUGAGGUCGGGAGAGGUGAGUGGAAUUCCUAGUGUAGAGGUGAAAUUCGUAGAUAUUAGGAGGAACACCAGUGGCGAAGGCGGCUCACUGGUCCAAUACUGACGCUGAGGUACGAAAGCGUGGGGAGCAAACAGGAUUAGAAACCCUUGUAGUCC